UGUCCUACGGGAGGCAGCAGUGGGGAAUAUUGGGCAAUGGGCGCAAGCCUGACCCAGCAACGCCGCGUGAAGGAAGAAGGCCCUCGGGUUGUAAACUUCUUUUAUCAGGGACGAAGAAGUGACGGUACCUGAUGAAUAAGCCACGGCUAACUACGUGCCAGCAGCCGCGGUAAUACGUAGGUGGCAAGCGUUAUCCGGAUUUACUGGGUGUAAAGGGCGUGUAGGCGGGGAAGCAAGGCAGAUGUGAAAUUCCAGGG
rnacentral:rRNA from 1 species